GAUGAAGAACGCAGCGAAAUGCGAUAAGUAAUGCGAAUUACAGAAUUCAGUGAGUCAUCGAAUCUUUGAACGCACAUUGCGCCCUGUGGUAUUCCGCAGGGCAUGCCUGUUCGAGCGUCAUUUCAACCCUCAAGCCCCGCUUGGUGUUGGGCCCCGCCCGCCGUGGCCGGCCCUAAAGACAGUGGCGGCGCCGCCUGGCCCUCAGCGUAGUACAGCUCUCGCUCCAGGGUCCGGCGGCCGCCUGCCAGAACCCCCCCAACUCUGUGGUUGACCUCGGAUCAGGUAGGGAUACCCGCUGAACUUAAGCAUAUCAAUAAGCGGAGGA
rnacentral:misc_RNA from 1 species